UUGAGGGGAAGGCAAUCUAAGUUCGCCGCAUCCUGCUCCUGCGCAAAGCUCGUCGCAAAAAACAAUGCUCCUGCGCAAAGCUCGUCGCAAAAGAACUUUUGCGGCAACGAUUGCAUGACCAACAUCGUGUUGG
rnacentral:sRNA from 1 species